GGGGGCGACCUGGUUUCGACGUGGGUUACAAAGCCUUCAGGUGCAUGUCGAGCAGAUAACCUCUCUCGUUAAACCCGGUUAUAAAAUAUAAUCGCAAAAGCGACUAAAUUUGCUGCAAACAAUCGCAUCUUCGGACGCGCUUUGUUAGCUGCCUAAUCUAAGGCAAAGCAAUCGUUAUCAGUGUGUGCUUAUGCGUGCUGCCUAACGAUCAUUUACAUAAGAUCGCAGUAUAAAGCGUCUGACAAUAUACUGUUAAAACUUUUCAGAAUCGCUGUUCUCCAACCGUGCUGGUCAGACGAGAAUGGUUAAAAAUAAAAGACUCAGCUAAACAUGUAGUUACUUGGGGUAGAGGAUUUACGGACGCGGGUUCAAUUCCCGCCGCCUCCACCA
rnacentral:tmRNA from 1 species